rnacentral:rRNA from 1 species
GUUAGGUGAGUACAGCCCGAAUCCCCUGGGCAACACGCGCGCGUCAAUGGUGGAUACAACGGGAUGCGACUCUGAAAGGAGAAGCUAAUCUCUUAAAGUCCAUCUCAGUCCAGAUUGAGGUUUGUAACUCAACCUCAUGACGCUGGAAUCUGUAGUAAUCGUUUGUUAUCAGCGAACGGUGAAUAAGUCACUGUCUCUUGCACACACUGCCCGUCAUACCAACCAAGUUGUGUUAUGGUGAAACUCUUUUGAGGAGAACCUUGGCACGAUGAGGCAGGUCAAGUCGUCACAAGGUAUCUGUAGGGGAACCUGCAGAUGGAUCACCUCCUAU